ensembl:lncRNA
UUAAUUUGCUCUUGUUUUAGGCUGUUACUGUGAAGGAGAUUGACUGCCACCCCCAGAACCUGCCAUAGUUGUAUAAAAUUGAUGACGUGGUGAGUGUUACACAGCCUGGAAGAUCUACGUAAGUAAUUACCUGCCUGCUGAUAUCUCUGUUAAAUCAAAGAUUGAUUAGAAAACCUUCCAUCAUAUAACUCAAUGGUUCCCUUGAUUUGAAGGGUAAAAAAUACAUCAAUAUUUUUUUCACAUGAGAAACAAGCCAAUUCGGGCAAGUUCUGCAAGAUUCAGCAUGAACUGGAUGAGGCAGAGCAGAGGGCUGAUAUCGCUGUCUCAGGUCAACAAGAUGAGAGCUAAUAGUCGUGAUGCCGGCUCCAAGAAAGGACACAAUAAAGAGAAGCUCUCAGAUGGAUUUUUCAGAAAAUCUCCUGACUUUAUUGCUUUAGUUUUUCUCCAUGUUACUGAGCAGAAUAAAUAAUAAAGUACAUUUAAAUUGCAUCUCUGUGUAUUGCUUGUAAUAUGUUACCUUUUGUGCCAAAGGUUUUUCAUGUCUGGUAUAGAUAUCAAGGUUGGUGUUGAUGCCAUUAUGAAUAAGAUUUCUAGACAUUUUGGAAGAAUAAAAUGCACUAUUUAACAUAAUUAUAUAUAAAAACACUGAUUUUAAUAAAAAAAUACAGAUAACAUACGUCAAAUGGUAUCAUAGUAAAAGACAAACAUUUAACACCUCGCUUACGUUUUGAUAAAAUUGUGAGUAAUAUUUACAGUAUGUCUCAAAUUUAAUUGGGUUAUUUACCAAUUUUAUAUACAAAACAAAGAUGACACUAUGAAUACGAGGGAGGGAAAAUUCGGAUUCUUGCCAUCAACAAUGGUAAAGGUGUGACCGUAUCUAUACAUUGUCUUGAACAGUAACCCUUUUUGUGUCAUUACAAUUUAGCCUCCAUAUCUGCAUCAUCCGAAGUGUACUUACAUUUUAGACCACUGUAUUCAAACAGUGUCUUGUCAACAGCCUUGAAUACAUAUGACAACAUUAUUCUAUGACAAUAUUCUGUUGAAAUCAAUUUGAGUAAUGUUAACCAGUUAGAGAACUCAAUAAUAAUAAUAAUAUAGUGAAAGCAGUGUACAUUCAGAACAAGAGGUGCACUAAUGCUACACUAGAGACUAAAUGUUUUUCUAUAUCAAAUAAAGCAUGUAACACGAAGUCCAUACAAUCCAAAGUUCUACACAGUAAAGAGCUGCGUGCAGAAUCUGUUUUUGACUGGAGGUUGGGGCAAGUCCAAGAAUGACCUGGAAUAGUGAAUUGGCCCUACAAGUGUUGUGAGUAGUAGUGUUAUAUUAAAAGUAUCAGAUUGUAUUCCUUCUUAAUAUUUUUCAAGUGAGGUAAAAUAUACCUUUCAGAAUAACAAUACAUCAUCUGUUAUAUUAUCCUGCUCAGAUGCUUCUGUGGUCCCUGUGGAAAGAAAACACUAUCCUGAGACUACAUUGAAGUGAUCUACAAGUGUACACUGGGCCCACAUUUUUUAUAAUUUUUUGGUUGGAGCCUCCUGGUUGGGGCUGAUGUGCAGAUGUUGAGGGGAGAAGGAACUUAAAAGCAAAAGGAAUCAGCUGAAAGAGAAGAAAGAUCAAAUGUAAGAUCAAAUGGAGGAAAAAGCAAAGGGAAUCAUACAGAUCUACUGGUUUAAAA